AUGCAUUCUGCCACUCACUCAGUUCUGCUGAUCAUCUUAAUAUUCAGAGGGACCAAUGGUGACUCAGUGAACCAGACAGAAGGCCCAGUGACUGUCUCAGAGGGGGCUCUCAUGACCCUGAACUGCACUUACCAGGCCACUUAUUCGAUUGUCUAUCUUUUCUGGUAUAUCCAGCAUCUCAACAAAGCUCCUCGACUCCUCCUGAAGGGCUCGAUGUCAGACCCGAAGCCAAAGAGUGAAGGUUUUCAGGCCACUCUUGUUCAGAGUGACAGCUCCUUCCACCUGCAGAAAUGGGCAGUGCAAACAUCAGACUCGGCUGUGUACUACUGUGCUCUGAGUGACACAGUGACACAGGGCUGCGGGGGAGCUGAGCACAAACCCAGAGUGCAGAUGGGGCUCUGGCUGUGGGCAGCCCUGCACGGGGGUGGCUCUUUCUGUCUUAGGUGUUUAUGCUAGCUGUGCUAUUGUUUAUGUGCUAAGUCAUGUCCGACUCUUUUGCGACCCUGUGACUGUAGUGGGCUCUUCUGUCCAUGGGAUUUC